GUAGGUGGCAAGCGUUGUCCGGAAUUAUUGGGCGUAAAGCGCGCGCAGGCGGUCCUUUAAGUCUGAUGUGAAAGCCCACGGCUCAACCGUGGAGGGUCAUUGGAAACUGGGGGACUUGAGUACAGAAGAGGAAAGCGGAAUUCCAAGUGUAGCGGUGAAAUGCGUAGAGAUUUGGUGGAACACCAGUGGCGAAGGCGGCUUUCUGGUCUGUAACUGACGCUGAGGCGCGAAAGCGUGGGGAGCAAACAGGAUUAGAUACCCUGGUAGUCCACGCCGUAAACGAUGAGUGCUAAGUGUUAGGGGGUUUCCCGCCCCCUUAGUGCUGCAGCUAACGCAUUAAGCACUCCGCCUGGGGAGUACGGCCGCAAGGCUG
rnacentral:rRNA from 1 species